GCGGGGUUAGUUCAGUUGGGAGAACGUCAGACUGAAGCAUUCAAACUCCAGUAAUAAAUCUGAAGGCCGUGCGUUCGAUCCGCACACACCGCA